UACGAAGGGGGCUAGCGUUGUUCGGAAUUACUGGGCGUAAAGCGCACGUAGGCGGAUAUUUAAGUCAGGGGUGAAAUCCCGGGGCUCAACCCCGGAACUGCCUUUGAUACUGGGUAUCUCGAGUCCGAGAGAGGUGAGUGGAAUUCCGAGUGUAGAUGUGAAAUUCGUAGAUAUUCGGAGGAACACCAGUGGCGAAGGCGGCUCACUGGCUCGGUACUGACGCUGAGGUGCGAAAGCGUGGGGAGCAAACAGG
rnacentral:rRNA from 1 species